AUCCAGCUAACGAGCCCCAACCAGGACGAAACGCGAGUCUUGUAU
rnacentral:hammerhead_ribozyme from 1 species